AACUUUUAACAACGGAUCUCUUGGCUCUCGCAUCGAUGAAGAACACAGCGAAAUGUGAUAAGUAAUGCGAAUUGCAGAAUUCAGUGAAUCAUCGAAUCUUUGAACGCACCUUGCACCCUUUGGCAUUCCGAAGGGUAUGCUCGUUUGAGUGUCAUUGUACUCUCAUGCUCCCGAUGCUUUUGGAUCGGGAGUGGUGGACUUGGGUGUUGCUGCUUUACUGUGGCUCACCUCAAAUGGAGUAGUGCAACUCUUGGUUGGACAUAGUACGGCGUGAUAAGUGUCUUCGCCGGCACCUCGCAAGAGGGUGGCCGAUCGAGAGCUCUGUGCUUUCAAACCGUCUUCGGACACUUUCUGACAACUUGACCUCAAAUCGAGUAGGACUACCCGCUGAACUUAAGCAUAUCAAUAAGCGGAGGCU
rnacentral:misc_RNA from 1 species